UUGUUCAUAUUGUUGUUGGUGGUGUCUCUGGUGGUUAUCCGGUUGUUGGUCGUGUUGUUGGUGAUGUUGUUCUUGUGUCUCGGGUCGUUGAUGUUGGUCGGGGAUGCGUAAGGACAUGAGUGCUGGAGGUCUGUUGUUGUCAUGUGUCUGGUGUUGGGGCACGUGGUUGGGGUGUUGUCUUCGUCUCGUGUCGUAGGUGCCUCUGGUGGUCGUUCUGUUUCGGGUUGUUCUGUUAAGGUAGUUCAGUUUUUUGGAUCGUCUCUGGUUCAAUUCGUUUUGUAGUUGGUGGAUGUAUUCUGUGUUGUUUUGUUGUUGUUCUUGGUGGUUCGUCUGUUGUUGUGUGUCGAGGUCGUGGGAGAUGCUGUCUAGUUCUUGUUGUAAGUCUGUGAUUUCUCUUUCCAGUUGUGUCUUUGUGUCUUCUAGAUGUUGUAUUGAAAGUAACAUUAGUUUUGAUUCAGUGUCUCUGAGGAUUGUCUCCCAAUUCUCUAUAAAGGUGUCAGUCAUUUGAGUGAUGUUAGGGAGUUUGCGUAUUUGUAGUCCUGUUGGUGUUGUUUGUUGGUCGCUGCAUUUAGUCAAGAAUUCGAUGUGGUGGUUCGUCUUUGUUAGAAUGAUUUUCUUUUGGUGUAGUUUCCGUUGUAUGGUGUUAGGGUCUGUAGGUGUGGCCUCGCCUCGCUCGUCUGUCUGGACUGCGGGGAUUACCCGUUCAGUUUGUGGCGUGGCGACGUUUGUCGGUGGCGGUAAGUCGUUCUCUUCGUCAUGUUCGGCAGUUCGUUGGCGUGUUUCUGUGUUGUUAGAUGGUGCGGGCAGGAUAUCGAAUGUACUCGCGAAGAUCGACGGCGAGGUGUCGGUUGGAAGUAAUUGGUUGUUGUCGAUCGUUGACGUUCUCGUGAUGGCGGGAGGUGUCUUCUUUGGUGCAUGAGGCGGUUGAGAAGUGGCGGGGAGUGCGUUGUGUUCCUGUUGUCGGGUUGGUCUCUUGGUGCGGAGGGUUGGUUGGGAGGCAGACAUGUCGAUAGAAUGGAGACGGAGAGACAGUGCUCAGUGGUUGUAAAUGAUAUAGUAUAAUGUGAAUAAACUGAAUAGAAACGAUACCGACUCGUUGUGUCGCGACGUUUCGCUGUGAGUAGCUUCUUCAGGCGACUAGAGUCAGUCGGAUAACAGUCUAUAGUGAACUACUAACUAAUCUGUAUUGAGUCUUAUUUGCUAGUUUUAAUUAUGUUACAGCGUCAUACUUACGGUUGGCUUGUCAUGCAUGCUUGCAUGAGGGUGUCGAUGUCUCUGUUCUCGUUCUCGUUUUCUUCAUUUGUUGUUCUCACUUUUGAUCUCGUCAGUGACUGUCCCAGGUUUUUCCCUCUUCUGUACGCUACUAUCGGUCUGGUCGGGAAGAGGUCGUUGAGUGUGGUGUUGUUCUCUGUGAUCUCCCAGUGUUUUUUGAUUACGUCUUUGAUUCGGUGCGAUCCUGGCUGCAAUGAUGUUGAGAAGACCGGUCUCCAUGGCGAGGUGUUUCUGUUGGUAUCUCUCAGAUAUUCCCGUCUGUUGUCAUGAUUGAUGUUUCUCGUCCAGUUCUCUAAUUGAUGGUGUUUAUAGCCCCGUUGUGCCAGGUGUCGGAGGUGGUCUGUUCUCUGUUGCUCGUAGUUGUCUCUGUCGGACGUGUUUCUUACGAAUCGAAUGAGUUCGCUGUUGACAGACACUUUUUUUGGUGGUCGCUGGGUGGUGACUUGUGUUGUGUAGGUAUUGGAAUGUGUUGGUAUCUUUAGAAUGUGUCUUUGUGUCCAGGGUUCCGUCUUCUUGAAAUCGUUCGCCUUUGUAUAGAUCGAUGUCGAGGAAUGUCGUCUCUGUGUCGCUGACUGUCCAGGUCAUGAAGAUGUCGUCGAUGUAGCGGAACCAGUGAGUCGGUGUGGUGGUCUCGUUCGCCAUGAAGGUCGUCUCAAGUCGACAGGACGAAUGUCAGGCCGAGGCUCAGGACGGUGAUCUCGUCAUCUGUGAGAUGGUGUGUCGAUCUAUUGACUAUGUACUUCUUCUUGGCUGCCAUAUUUCUCCUGUGUGUUCUUCCGGGUCUGGAUUGUGCAGUGAUCGUGGGCUCCUCAUCGUAUGGUUAGGUUGUCGGUGGGGCGUCGGACUGUGCCGGUGUCGCCAGUGAGGAGCUGCCACUCGUGGGAUGUUGUAUUGACAGUAACAUUAGUUUUGAUUCGGUGUCUCUGAGGAUUGUCUCCCAAUUCUCACUGUCUGGACUGCGGGGAUUACCCGUUCAGUUUGUGGCGUGGCGACGUUUGUCGGUGGCGGUAAGUCGUUCUCUUCGUCAUGUUCGGCAGUUCGUUGGCGUGUUUCUGUGUUGUUAGAUGGUGCGGGCAGGAUAUCGAAUGUACUCGCGAAGAUCGACGGCGAGGUGUCGGUCGGAGGUGGUUGGAUGUUGUCGACGGUCGAUGUUCUGGUGAUGGCGGGAGGAGUCUUCUUUGGUGCGUGAGGCGGUUGAGAAGUGGAGGGACGUGUUGGGAGUGCGUUGUGUUCAUGUUGUCGGGUUGGUCUCUUGGUGCGGAGGGUUGGUUGGGAGGCAGACAUGUCGGUAGAAUGGAGACGGAGAGACAGUGCUCAGUGGUUGUAAAUGAUAUAGUAUAAUGUGAAUAAACUGAAUAGAAUCGAUACUGACUGAUUGUGUCGCGACGUUUCGCUAUGCAGCUUCAUCAGGCGAACAGUGUCAGUCGUAGUACAUUGAUGAAGAGACUAACCGAACGUUGUAGGUGCCAAUGAUGCUCCUAGAGGCGUAGCUCUUCUAACUUGCCUCUGCUCCGCUUGGAUUGACUUUCCGCAAUCGUCAUGGUAUGC